CACCUUCGGGUGUGUAUAGAGUGGCGAACGGGUGAGUAACACGUGACCAACCUGCCUCUUACAUUGGGACAACCAAAAGAAAUUCUGGCUAAUACCAAAUACUCCGCACAUAUCACAUGAUGUAUGCGGGAAAGCUUUUGCGGUAAGAGAUGGGGUCGCGGCCCAUUAGGUAGACGGCGGGGUAGAAGCCCACCGUGCCGAUGAUGGGUAGCCGGGUUGAGAGACCGACCGGCCACAUUGGGACUGAGAUACGGCCCAGACUCCUACGGGAGGCAGCAGUGGGGAAUAUUGCGCAAUGGGGGAAACCCUGACGCAGCAACGCCGCGUGCGGGAUGAAGGCCUUCGGGUUGUAAACCGCUUUCAGCAGGGAAGACAUCGACGGUACCUGCAGAAGAAGCCCCGGCUAACUACGUGCCAGCAGCCGCGGUAAUACGUAGGGGGCGAGCGUUAUCCGGAUUCAUUGGGCGUAAAGCGCGCGCAGGCGGUUGCUCAAGCGGAACCUCUAAUCUCGGGGCUUAACCUCGAGCCGGGUUCCGAACUGGACGACUCGAGUGCGGUAGAGGCAGAUGGAAUUCCCGGUGUAGCGGUGGAAUGCGCAGAUAUCGGGAAGAACACCAACGGCGAAGGCAGUCUGCUGGGCCGUCACUGACGCUGAGGCGCGAAAGCUGGGGGAGCGAACAGGAUUAGAUACCCUGGUAGUCCCAGCCGUAAACGAUGAGCGCUGGGUGUGGGAGAUUACAUCUUCCGUGCCGAAGCUAACGCAUUAAGCGCUCCGCCUGGGGAGUACGGCCGCAAGGCUAAAACUCAAAGGAAUUGACGGGGGCCCGC
rnacentral:rRNA from 1 species